GGCGUGGGGUGAAGAAGGCCUUAUUGGUUGUAAAGCACUUUAAGCGAGGAGGAGGCUACUUUAGAUAAUACCUAGAGAUAGUGGACGUUACUCGCAGAAUAAGCACCGGCUAACUCUGUGCCAGCAGCCGCGGUAAUACAGAGGGUGCAAGCGUUAAUCGGAUUUACUGGGCGUAAAGCGCGCGUAGGCGGCUAAUUAAGUCAAAUGUGAAAUCCCCGAGCUUAACUUGGGAAUUGCAUUCGAUACUGGUUAGCUAGAGUGUGGGAGAGGAUGGUAGAAUUCCAGGUGUAGCGGUGAAAUGCGUAGAGAUCUGGAGGAAUACCGAUGGCGAAGGCAGCCAUCUGGCCUAACACUGACGCUGAGGUGCGAAAGCAUGGGGAGCAAACAGGAUUAGAUACCCUGGUAGUCCAUGCCGUAAACGAUGUCUACUAGCCGUUGGGGCCUUUGAGGCUUUAGUGGCGCAGCUAACGCGAUAAGUAGACCGCCUGGGGAGUACGGUCGCAAGACUAAAACUCAAAUGAAUUGACGGGGGCCCGCACAAGCGGUGGAGCAUGUGGUUUAAUUCGAUGCAACGCGAAGAACCUUACCUGGCCUUGACAUAGUAAGAACUUUCCAGAGAUGGAUUGGUGCCUUCGGGAACUUACAUACAGGUGCUGCAUGGCUGUCGUCAGCUCGUGUCGUGAGAUGUUGGGUUAAGUCCCGCAACGAGCGCAACCCUUUUCCUUAUUUGCCAGCGAGUAAUGUCGGGAACUUUAAGGAUACUGCCAGUGACAAACUGGAGGAAGGCGGGGACGACGUCAAGUCAUCAUGGCCCUUACGGCCAGGGCUACACACGUGCUACAAUGGUCGGUACAAAGGGUUGCUACCUAGCGAUAGGAUGCUAAUCUCAAAAAGCCGAUCGUAGUCCGGAUUGGAGUCUGCAACUCGACUCCAUGAAGUCGGAAUCGCUAGUAAUCGCGGAUCAGAAUGCCGCGGUGAAUACGUUCCCGGGCCUUGUACACACCGCCCGUCACACCAUGGGAGUUUGUUGCACCAGAAGUAGCUAGCCUUACUCCAAAGACGGCGGCGAGUAUACGAUGAGCUCAUGGGCUGG
rnacentral:rRNA from 1 species